rnacentral:snoRNA from 1 species
UUGCAUGAUGAUACCACAAAUUUCAAAGCAUAGUUCAUCCUAGCCUUCGGGCAUUGAGGAACGAAUCAGCAUUGUCUUUCGCUCCUAUCUGA